rnacentral:rRNA from 1 species
AGUGAACGCUGGCGGUAGGCCUAACACAUGCAAGUCGAACGGCAGCACAGUAAGAGCUUGCUCUUACGGGUGGCGAGUGGCGGACGGGUGAGGAAUACAUCGGAAUCUACUUUUUCGUGGGGGAUAACGUAGGGAGACUUACGCUAAUACCGCAUACGACCUACGGGUGAAAGCAGGGGAUCUUCGGACCUUGCGCGAUUGAAUGAGCCGAUGUCAGAUUAGCUAGUUGGCGGGGUAAAGGCCCACCAAGGCGACGAUCCGUAGUUGGUCUGAGAGGAUGAUCAGCCACACUGGAACUGAGACACGGUCCAGACUCCUACGGGAGGCAGCAGUGGGGAAUAUUGGACAAUGGGCGCAAGCCUGAUCCAGCCAUACCGCGUGGGUGAAGAAGGCCUUCGGGUUGUAAAGCCCUUUUGUUGGGAAAGAAAAGCAGCAGGUUAAUACCCCGCUGUUCUGACGGUACCCAAAGAAUAAGCACCGGCUAACUUCGUG